rnacentral:rRNA from 1 species
GACAGAGGGGGCAAGCGUUGCUCGGAAUCACUGGGCGUAAAGGGCGCGUAGGCGGGAUGGCAAGUCAGUCGUGAAAUCUCUCGGCUCAACCGAGAAACGUCGGCUGAUACUGCCGUUCUUUGAGGGAUGCAGAGGAGACUGGAAUUCCCCAGUGUAGAGGUGAAAAUUCGUAGAUAUUGGGAGGAACACCAGAAGCGAAGGCGGCCAACUGGCCCCGAUACUGACGCUGA